UGGGGGAUAUUGCACAAUGGGCGAAAGCCUGAUGCAGCGACGCCGCGUGGGGGAUGAAGGCUUUCGGGUUGUAAACCUCUUUCGCUAUCGAACAAGGCCCGCUUAGGGUGGGUUGAGGGUAGGUGGAGAAGAAGCGCCGGCUAACUACGUGCCAGCAGCCGCGGUAAUACGUAGGGCGCGAGCGUUGUCCGGAAUUAUUGGGCGUAAAGGGCUUGUAGGCGGCUUGUUGCGCCUGCUGUGAAAACGCGGGGCUUAACUUCGCGCGUGCAGUGGGUACGGGCAGGCUUGAGUGUGGUAGGGGUGACUGGAAUUCCAGGUGUAGCGGUGGAAUGCGCAGAUAUCUGGAGGAACACCGAUGGCGAAGGCAGGUCACUGGGCCAUUACUGACGUUGAGGAGCGAAAGCAUGGGUAGCGAACAGG
rnacentral:rRNA from 1 species